rnacentral:rRNA from 1 species
UACGAGAGGCCCAAACGUUAUUCGGAUUUACUGGGCUUAAAGAGUUCGUAGGCGGUCUAGCAAGUGAGGUGUGAAAUCCCUUGGCUCAACCAAGGAAUUGCGCUUCAAACUGCUAGGCUCGAGGGAGAUAGAGGUGAGCAGAACUGAUGGUGGAGCGGUGAAAUGCGUUGAUAUCAUCAGGAAUACCAGAGGCGAAGGCGGCUCACUGGGUCUCUUCUGACGCUGAGGAACGAAAGCUAGGGGAGCAAAC